AAGCCCAAAGUCCAUCUCCCUAAGCCCGUUAGAGUAACUUCUUUCUCUUUACCAAGAAACGACAGCUUUGACCAAUGUAAUACGUUUAGCACGGUGUCUUCAAGCCAAGGAGGAGAGGGAGGAUUGGGUACAGAGGUUGUACAAGGACCUUGGUCAGAUAAUGUCAACGAUGAUGAAAAUGGGACCGGAUUUCUUGCUGCUUAUGAUGAUCAUGGUUUUGUUAACGGUUCAGAUUUCGAGUGCCAGUCUCAUGUACCAGCAAGUGAUGACGAUAAUUCUCUCGAGAAGCUUUACGAAGAGUAUCUCCAGCUUCUGAAGACAAACGAUGAUCAAG
rnacentral:lncRNA from 1 species